CACAGAGUUAUCGAUUCCAGUUAAGAACACUCCAGAAAUACUGCAUAAACAAGCCUUCCUUCGCUCUCCUGCUCUCUCAUCGUUUGCAUUGCUUUGAGGAUUUAACGUUUUGGCUUGCAUCCCCGCUUUACUUGCCGGUUAGUUCUAUUACUUAUAAUAGCCUACCUAAUGUUUGAUAAAUUGCUUGUUAGCCUUUCUUG